rnacentral:tRNA from 1 species
GCCUGGGUGGCUUGGUCGGUUAAGCGUCUGACUUCGGCUCAGGUCAUGAUCUCGCGGUCCGUGAGUUCGAGCCCCAUGUCGGGCU